rnacentral:rRNA from 1 species
GAUGAACGCUAGCGAUAGGCUUAACACAUGCAAGUCGAGGGGCAGCACAAGGUAGCUUGCUAUCUGGGUGGCGACCGGCGCACGGGUGCGUAACGCGUAUGCAACUUGCCCUAUACAGGAGGAUAACCCGUCGAAAGACGGACUAAUACUGCGUAUGCUCACAACUUGGCAUCAAGUGGUGAGGAAAGAAAUUCGGUAUAGGAUAGGCAUGCGUCCCAUUAGCUUGUUGGUGAGGUAACGGCUCACCAAGGCAACGAUGGGUAGGGGAACUGAGAGGUUUAUCCCCCACACUGGUACUGAGACACGGACCAGACUCCUACGGGAGGCAGCAGUGAGGAAUAUUGGUCAAUGGGCGCGAGCCUGAACCAGCCAAGUCGCGUGAAGGAUGACUGUCUUAUGGAUUGUAAACUUCUUUUAUACGGGAAUAACAAGAGUCACGUGUGACUCCCUGCAUGUACCGUAUGAAUAAGCAUCGGCUAACUCCGU